rnacentral:lncRNA from 1 species
GGUAAGUUAUCACAUGUAUAGCUCCUGAUUCAUAUGUUGGUUUUGAGGGAAGAUAGCAAAGCUCCCUCGUCACAUGUGAGGCAUGAACAUACUGCUCUUGUUCUUCCAAUUUAUUAUUCCUUUCUAGCAAGUUUAUAAUGUAAGCUGGUAUGGGUUUCCUCUGGUUUUUAGCAUAAAUUAGGGCUAGAUAAUGUGAUUCAGGAAUAGUAAUUCUAAAGAACAGAGAUAAAGUACCAUAAGAGUCCUUUCUUGCUUUUUAUGGUCUGUCUAUGUAUGUAUCAAAAAAAUUAUGAUGUUUGUUGGCAUUCUUAAAAGAUGUGAAAGAAAUCCUGUCUUAAGCUUGAUAUCAUUCUUGGUGGUGAACAGGCACCGAAGGUUAGUUUCAAGAAGCCAAUUGGAAGUGUGAGUGUUUCUGGCCAUAAGUUUGUGGGUUGUCCAAUGCCUUGUGGUGUUCAGAUCACAAGGAUGGAACACAUCAAUGUGCUUUCAAGCAAUGUUGAAUACCUAGCAUCAAGGGAUGCUACGAUCAUGGGAAGUCGGAAUGGUCAUGCUCCUCUUUUCCUUUGGUAUACUCUCAAUAGAAAAGGUUAUAAAGGAUUUCAAAAAGAUGUUCAGAAAUGCCUCAGAAAUGCUCACUACUUGAAAGACCGACUGCACGAGGCUGGGAUCAGUGCUAUGCUAAAUGAACUCAGCAGUACGGUUGUGUUUGAGCGGCCCCGGGAUGAGGAGUUUGUUCGUAGGUGGCAACUUGCUUGUGAAGGGAAUAUAGCACAUGUGGUGGUGAUGCCUAAUGUGACAAUCGAAAAACUGGAUUUCUUCUUGAAUGAAUUAGUUGAAAAACGGUCGACUUGGUAUCAAGGGAAUGUUCAACCUCCUUGUAUUGCAGCAGAGAUAGGGAAAGCGAAUUGCGUUUGUGCUCUGCACAAGUGAAAAAAAAU